rnacentral:rRNA from 1 species
UACGUAGGGACCAAGCGUUGUUCGGAUUUACUGGGCGUAAAGGGCGCGUAGGCGGCAAAUUAAGUCAGCUGUGAAAUCUCCGAGCUUAACUCGGAACUGUCAGCUGAUACUGAUGUGCUAGAGUGCGGAAGGGGCAAUCGGAAUUCUUGGUGUAGCGGUGAAAUGCGUAGAUAUCAGGAGGAACACCGGUGGUGUAGACGGCUUUCUGGACCGUAACUGACGCUGAGACACGAAAGCGUGGGGAGCAAACAGG